ACAGAUAAGCAAAUCUAGGUUUACACAAUGUCCUGGAGUAAAAGAUUUUAUAAGCUGGACUGGAAUAUGGAAACCAAAAUACAAACAUACAAUUAAAUCAGACGAAAAUCUUCAUUUUAUAAUGAUAACCAACCAUAUAGGAAAGUCAAGAACAAAACUGUCAAAAUUAUCCGCAGAUCCAAGGAAAUUUAAUGCAAUAAAUGACGACAUGGAUCAUGGAAAACGGGAGUCUGUGGUAGCACAAGAACUGUUACAAAACUUCUAUGAGAAGCUAUUUCCUAACAUAUCACAGUAUGAAUUGAGGGGACCAUAAUGAUAACUACAAAGACAAGAACAAGGGAGAAAACGCUACACCCGCUUUAUCAAAUCUGUCUCGUGUUCAAAAUCUUUACUUUUAUCGUUUACAACAGUUUCAUAUUCAUUUGAUCGUUUAGUUUGCAUAUAUUUUCAUUAUUUUAAUUUUAAAUGUCCUUUUCUCAUAGAAAAAGAUAUACAGUAUCAGCAAUGUAUUAUAAUCGAUAUCUGAUUACUGAUAUAUAUGUUGACAUUAUUUUUUGUAGAAAAUGUAUUCAAAAAGAUGUAUGAAAACUGAUAUGUAGUUUGAAUGUCUUUUUGCCGAUCAA